GUAUUUUUGUUUCAAUGAAGAAGUUUAAGAAGAAUAUAAAGGCUGAAGACUAAUGAUAUGCUAUUCUUUGUACAUGAAAAUGGCAGUCCUGACCUGCCAUAAGUCUGGGCACUUAUGGCUGUGAUAGAUUUUUCUGGGUCCGUCUGCCUUUCCUUCCAGGCACCCCAGGCUUCUCAGGACAAACAGCGUAAUCAGUGACCUCAGAACAGAGCAACGCUAAUGAGGAUGACCCUGACCCCAGGAGAAGAGUGUUCUGACCCUCUGACCCAAAUAAAAAUAGAAAAGCUUGGGCAGUACAUUUAAGAGUAACUUUGGGAUUAAUUAUAUGAGUAUAAAGAUAAAUGAGAAAAUAAAUUCUACUCACAAGUAGGAAGACUUAGAUAAUUGUGUAAUAUUUGAAACAUAAAACUUAAACUGAAAACUAUUACACUGGUAAAUUGAAUUACAUUAUCAUUCCUUUUAACUAACAUCAGAAUUACCUUUCCUUUAAUGUUUCCUUAGUUAAUAAGAACCAAAUCUUAUUAUAAUAAUUAAAGCUACUAGAAAAUGCUUUAAGCCUUUUUCUUUUUCAAAAAUGCAUUUAUUAGGUCAAUUUGAAGAAUAUACUAAAAUUGUACUUUCUUUAGAAAUUUUGAAAUACCAUUUUUAUCAAUUGAUGUAUAUUUAGAUUAUAACUGAGUAGUAUCAAAGAAUUCUUUUUCACUAGAUGUUAUGAAGACCCACUUUAAUCUGUAAUUAGGCACCUACCAUGCAGCUUAUCUCUAUUAAUGCUGGUAAUUCUGAAUUCCUAUCUUUAAUUUGUAUUACUACAAAGCUUGCAUAAUAAAUUCAUUAAUACAUUAAUUAUUUGAUGAUGCAUGAAAGGUGUAUUAAUGGCAGAAAUUGAAAAAGUGAUAUACCUAGAUACAAAUUAAGGAAAAACAUACAGAAUAAAGUUAUAGUUCAGAUUUGUUUUUACUUUGGUAAUAGGUAAGGUUAAUUUUCAUGAUAAAUCAUAAGCAUUUACAUGCAACAUAUUUUUUGGCCAUUGAAAUAAAGGGAGCUGUGAGUUGGUCUGAGGGGAGAAAACAUGAUUUGUAUUUUAUUCUUUUAGAAAAUAAAACAAGCCACGCACGGUGGCCCACACCUGAACCCCAGCACUUUGGGAGGCCAAGCACAAGCUUCCUUGGAGGAUACAGAUAAAGAAAAAAAUGUUCUUCAUGACCUAGAAGAAGAAAUACAUCUUCUCUUAAUAAAUCCCAUCUGAAAUCAUGUAGGGGAAGGAAA
rnacentral:lncRNA from 13 species